CAGUAACGGCGAGUGAAGCGGUAACAGCUCAAAUUUGAAAUCUGGCUCUUUCAGGGUCCGAGUUGUAAUUUGUAGAAGAUGCUUCGAGUGUAGCUCCGGUCUAAGUUCCUUGGAACAGGACGUCAUAGAGGGUGAGAAUCCCGUAUGUGACUGGCGGCUUUCGCUCAUGUGAAGCUCUUUCGACGAGUCGAGUUGUUUGGGAAUGCAGCUCAAAAUGGGUGGUAAAUUUCAUCUAAAGCUAAAUAUUGGCCAGAGACCGAUAGCGCACAAGUAGAGUGAUCGAAAGAUGAAAAGCACUUUGGAAAGAGAGUUAAACAGUACGUGAAAUUGUUGAAAGGGAAGCGCUUGCAACCAGACUUGCACUUGAGCGAUCAUCCGGGGUUCUCUCCGGUGCACUCGUUCUCGUUCAGGCCAGCAUCGGUUCAGGUGGUGGGAUAAAGGCCUUGGGAAUGUAGCUUCUUUCGGGGAGUGUUAUAGCCCUCGGUGCAAUGCCGCCUACCUGGACCGAGGACCGCGCUUCGGCUAGGAUGCUGGCGUAAUGGUUGUAAGCGACCCGUCUUGAAACACGGACCAAGGAGUCUAACAUCUAUGCGAGUGUUUGGGUGUCAAACCCAUACGCGUAAUGAAAGUGAACGGAGGUGAGAACCCUUAAGGGUGCAUCAUCGACCGAUCCUGAUGUCUUCGGAUGGAUUUGAGUAAGAGCAUAGCUGUUGGGACCCGAAAGAUGGUGAACUAUGCCUGAAUAGGGUGAAGCCAGAGGAAACUCUGGUGGAGGCUCGCAGCGGUUCUGACGUGCAAAUCGAUCGUCAAAUUUGGGUAUAGGGGCGAAAGACUAAUCGAACCAUUGCUAGGUGGCUAAGAGAGGAUUCUAGCUGAGAAGCGACAGGCUCAAAUUGUUCGGGGACCUCCUGCUAGGCUGAACUACCGCCCCCGCCGCGAAAGCGACGGUAGGCACCACGGUUAACCGCCGUGGGUACGGUAAAAACGUUUCAGAUAGGGACUAUCCGCAGCCAACUCCUAAAGACCCGCCGGUCCACGGAGCAGGUUCACAGACUAAAUGGGCGUGGGUUCUCGCGUGCGAGAGCUGAAGUUAUAGUCGAUCCGCCCCGA
rnacentral:rRNA from 1 species